rnacentral:misc_RNA from 1 species
GAUGAAGAACGCAGCGAAAUGCGAUACUUGGUGUGAAUUGCAGAAUCCCGUGAACCAUCGAGUCUUUGAACGCAAGUUGCGCCCGAAGCCAUUAGGCCGAGGGCACGCCUGCCUGGGCGUCACACGUCGUUGCCCCCCCACCUACUCCUUCGGGAUUGCGGGGGGCGGAUGAUGGCCUCCCGUGCGCCUCGUCGCGCGGUUGGCAUAAAUGCCAAGUCCUCGGCGACGCACGCCACGACAAUCGGUGGUUGCGAAACCUCGGUUGCCCGUCGUGUGCGGUCGUCGCGCAUCGAGGGCUCGAAAAAAUUGCCGGGCUCCGGCUCGGCUUUCAACGCGACCCCAGGUCAGGCGGGGUUACCCGCUGAAUUUAAGCAUAUCAAUAAGCGGAGGA